UGUGGCCUCUCCCGGAGCACAGGCUCCGGACGCGCAGGCUCAGAGGCCAUGGCUCACGGGCCCAGCCACUCCGCGGUAUGUGGGAUCUUCCCGGACCGGGGCACGAACCCGCGUCCCCUGCAUCGGCAGGCGGACUCUCAACCACUGCGCCACCAGGGAAGCCCUUUUUUUUUUUAAAUAUAUAUAUAUUCUGAAUAUUUGUUAGGUGACUAAAUGAAUGAUUAUAUUUAGUCCUACACAAAACUGUAAGGUAGCAAUUCCCAUCCCAGUUUUACAAGUUAGGAAACUGAUGCUCACAGAGUUUAAGUAACUUGCUAUGCCCACGAAUGAGUGGCAGACUCAGAAUUCAAAAUCAGGUCUGCCCAGCCCAAAUGCCAGACUCUUGGCCACUGUGCUAAACUAAGACAAGGCAUGUGCCCCACACGGUACCCAGCCCAUAGCAGAAUGGUACCCAGCCCACAGUAGAAUGUAAACCCCCUUCUUCUCGCUCUUCUGUACCUCACUCUUUGAUCAUUGCUGCCGCCAGCACAGAGACUUGUGGCCGAUAAAUUUAAAGCCCUGGAAACUGCUUCCUCCUGCCUUCCUAGCACACUGAGGUCUGUUCCAGUAGGAAGGCAGGGCCAAUGGAGUGGCAUUAAUUGCUGGUGACUAGUGUGCACAUCCGAGCGAGGAAGUGGCACCUUCCAUCAGCGCUUGUCUCUUCACAUCAUCCUGGGAGUAAUCUGACCCAACACACCAUCACCAUUUGACAGGAAUGUCACUGCCUGGAGACCCAAAAAUACUAAACAGGAAAGCUCCUGCAGAGUGACAGCCGGAACAUCCGUGUCUGACAGUGGCGAGUGCUUGCUCACCCCAUCUCUCAGCCCGAAGUGCCCCUCAUCUGUGUCUGGGUCUGUCGAAAGUAUAGGUGGAGGAACGCGUGCCCUCCUGGGUUCGCAUCCUGCUGGAGCUCUUCUAUGGCUGGAUACUUACGCCAGCUCUUUGCCCUCUGCUUCCUCCUCUGGCACCUACCUUUUCAUCCUUUUCCCAAAGGUCCUCUGAGUUCUUGGAGUUUUGCAGCUGUUCUUUUAUUCGCUUUUAUUCUCUCUUCCACUCCCAGAAUUCACCUGCAUAUAGGACAUACCCUUUGUCACUAAAUUUAUCUUUUUUUCCGAAACAAGAUGAAAAUAGAAAGAAUACGUGUAUGCAUAAUGUGGAUUUCACUGGAGACUUUGGAACAACAGGCAGCUGUCAAGAGCCAUCAACUCAAAAUCUCAUAGUGGAGUUUGUCCUAAUACCAACAGGGGCCUCUUCUUGCCCCAUACUGCCCCCUCACACUGCUUAACCUACCACUGCCUUGCAAAAUUCUCUCACCCUUCUUUCUUUGCCCUGCAACUCCUCCUUCCAAAAAGAACCCUGGACCUCUGAAUUCUUCAUUUAUGACUCAGAACACAGCAGGUUUCCCUACCUCAAGAUAAUCAGAAACAAAGGGCCUUAGAAGAUAGUUGAGGUUAAACUAAAAAGUAAAAGGAAGAAACAGAAUCCUGUUGUAUUAUUGUUAAUAUCAAUGACUGUGUCGUCCUUGGAGAUCACCGCUCUACCUCUUUGCACCCACAGCAGGUUGCCUGGGCUUUCAGGCGGUCCUCCCUGACCCCCGCUCUGUACUGCUAUGUGUUGAAUUAGUGCUUAUGGCACUGCCCCCUCCAGUGGACCACUGACAUCGCCCCUGGUGGUCUCUAACCUAACUUAUUCCCCCUUCCAGGCUUAGCACAGAGCAGGUGUGCUGGAAGCCGUGUCCAUUUAGGCUAAUUAGGACAGAUGUAAGACCCCAAGUUUUCCAAAGGGACAAUGCCAUAGCGGGAUGAACUGAUCACUUUACCCAAAGCACACGCAGCCCCAGAAUCAGCUCUCACUGACCUUGGUGCUUCCUUUGGAAGAAGCCUUUGGAUUCAGGUCCCAUCUUUACUUCCAGUGAAAAGUGGCUGCUCACCUGCUGAUGGCCCAGUGUCAGCUUUCCCCGCCCCGCUUACCCUUCUCUUCCCCACUGGGAUUUUUGAAACCACCUCCUCCAGCGUGCACAUAAAAGGCGAGUAUGUGGCAAAGUUGAAUCACCUGACGCUGUACAGUGUGUUGUCAUUAUUGUCACCGCAGUGUAAUAAGACAUGGUUUAUUCAUUUCUGAGAACUCCCAGCAUUUCGUGCAUCCUUCCCACCCCUGCCCGUCACUUAGGAGAAUCUAUCUUUUCUCACUCAACUUUUUCUUCCUUCCCCACCCUUUAGGAGAACUCUGUGUUUGCUUGGAGGUACCCAGACAUACUGGGCAGAAUCAGGAAUCUGAGUAAAGAGCAAGAGAAGACUGGAGGGACUGGAGGGAAAGAAGAUGCUUGCUGUCGAGUUCAGCUAAGCCCCCUGAGAGCUGGUUUUAAAGAAGAAGGAAGAAGGAAAGAAAAGCUCAGCACUGAGUUACCAUUUGCUGAGGAUUUACCAUGGGCCAGACACUGCUCUGGAUGACAAGCGUGAAAGAUCCCAUCUAAUCCUCACAAAAACCCCAUGAGGAACUCAUCAUCCCAGUCAAAACAUGAGAAAAACAUCAGAAAAUCAAUUGAGAGGCAGUCUACAAAAUACUGCCAAGGUCAUCAAAAACAAGGAAAUUCGGAGAAACUUCAUAGCCAAGAGGAGCCUAGGAAGACAUUAUAUAAAUAUUAUGUAAAUAUAAAUAUAAUGUGAUGUCCUGGAUGUAUCCUGGACCAGAAGAGGCAUAUUAGGUAAAAACUAAGGAAAUCUCAGUGAAGUAAUGACUUUAGUUAAUGAUAAUGGAUCAAUAUUUGUUCAUGAAUUGUGAUAAAUAUACCUUA